rnacentral:hammerhead_ribozyme from 19 species
AUCAGGUUGGGGCAGCGGUUAAGCCUCCUGAUGAGCCCCGUCGCGUGGGCGAAACCUGUC